UUGUCCCGGCCUAAGCUUUCUCUGCUCCCCUGUGCUCAGUUGUAAUGGGAGUCUAGCAUAACGCACAGCAGUUCUCUCUCUGUUUAGGAGGGCCUCCCUGAGGAUAGGGCUGGCUUUUAAAGGAUGAGAAACCUGG